rnacentral:rRNA from 1 species
CUGGCUCAGAUUGAACGCUGGCGGCAUGCUUUACACAUGCAAGUCGAACGGCAGCGGGGGCUUCGGCCUGCCGGCGAGUGGCGAACGGGUGAGUAAUGCAUCGGAACGUGCCCAUGUCGUGGGGGAUAACGUAGCGAAAGCUACGCUAAUACCGCAUACGCCCUGAGGGGGAAAGCGGGGGAUUCUUCGGAACCUCGCGCGAUUGGAGCGGCCGAUGUCGGAUUAGCUAGUAGGUGAGGUAAAGGCUCACCUAGGCGACGAUCCGUAGCGGGUCUGAGAGGAUGAUCCGCCACACUGGGACUGAGACACGGCCCAGACUCCUACGGGAGGCAGCAGUGGGGAAUUUUGGACAAUGGGCGCAAGCCUGAUCCAGCCAUGCCGCGUGAGUGAAGAAGGCCUUCGGGUUGUAAAGCUCUUUCGGCCGGGAAGAAAUCGUGGUCUCUAACAUAGGCC